CCGCCUACGGGACGCAGCAGUGAGGAAUAUUGGUCAAUGGGCGGGAGCCUGAACCAGCCAAGUCGCGUGAGGGAAGACGGUCCUAUGGAUUGUAAACCUCUUUUGUCGGGGAGCAAAGAGGCCACGUGUGGUCAAAAGCGAGAGUACCCGAAGAAAAAGCAUCGGCUAAAUCCGUGCCAGCAGCCGCGGUAAUACGGAGGAUGCGAGCGUUGUCCGGAUUUAUUGGGUUUAAAGGGUGCGUAGGCGGGGCGGUAAGUCAGCGGUAAAAAUGCGGCGC
rnacentral:rRNA from 1 species